AUGUGCAAUACCAUGUCUGUGUCUACUCAUGUAACCACCUCACAGAUUCCAACUUCGGAACAGAAAACCUUGGUUAGACCAAAACCAUUGCUUUUGAAGUUGUUAAAAAGCAGCCCCAGUGAGUCUCCAGGGACACCGUAACACCCGGAUCUUGAUGUUGGUGUAAGUGAACAUUCAGGUGACUGGUUGGAUCAAGAUCCAGUUUCAGAUCAGUUUAGUGGAGAAUUUGAAGUUGAAUCUCUUGAUUGGGAAGAUGAUAGUCUUAGUGAAGAAGGACAAGAACUCUCAGAUGAAGAUGAUGAAGUGUAUUGGAAAUGUCCCUCAUGCAAUGAAAUGAAUCCUCCCCUCCCACCACAUUGCAACAGGUGUUGGGCCCUUCCUGAGAUAAAGGGAAAGAUAGAGGGGAUAGCUCUGAGAAAGCCAAGCUGGAAAACUCAGCACAAGCAGAAGAGGGCUUUGAUGUUCCGGAUUGUAAAAAAACUACAGGGAGUGAUUCCAAAGAGUCAUCUGCGGAGGAAAAAGAUGCUAAAAUCAUGCAGGCCUCCAAGUCACAAGACAGUGAGGACUAUUCUCAGCCAUCAACUUCUAAUAGCAUUAUUUACAGCAGCCAAGAAGAUAUGAAAGAAUCUGAGAGGGAAGAAACACAAGACAAAGAAGAAAGUAUGGAAUCCAGCUUUCCCCUUAGUGCCAUUGAACCUUGUGUGAUUUGCCAAGGUCAACCUAAAAAUGGUUGCAUUGUCCAUGGCAAAACAGGACACCUAAUGGCAUGCUUCACAUGUGCAAAGAAGCUAAAGAAAAGGAAUAAGCCCUGCCCAGUGUGUAGACAACCGAUUCAGAUGAUUGUGCUAACUUACUUCCCCUAG